GGACCAGGCGGAGAUUCAGGGCCAGCCUGCUGACUCCAGGUCUGAGCGUCUGUUUUCCCACCAAAUUUCCUUCCAAGAAUGCAAAUGUGUUUUCUUCUCUUGGUCACCGGUUUGCCACGCUUCCCCGCUCAUUCCACUGGGUUGGAUUACCCGCUGUGUUGGGUUGUUUUCCCCUGAAUCCUUCCAGCUGCUUUACUCCCUGCCCUCUGCUUAUGUGCACUUUCCCAGUCCUGGGGUGUUCUCCUCUCCCGCGAUGCUAUUCCCAGCACCAGUUGUGAAUACAACUCUGAUUUAGCUUCCUCCCUGCCCUCCCCUGCCUACCAUUUUCUACUCCUACUCAUUUCUAUUUAUGUUUCACUAGCCUCAGCAAGAGGAAAGGAACCAAAAUUUAAUAUUUAUUCAGCUCUUAUUACAUACCAGGCACCGUGCUGAACAAUUUACAUACGUCUAUAAUUCAGUCUUCACAGCAAGUCUAUAAAAUAGGUAUUAUUAUUGUUUCCACUUACCAGAUGAGGAAACUGAUGUUCAGGAAGUUUCUAUGCCUUGCCUGUGGCUGUAAAGCUUGAAGCCAGGAUUUGACCCAGAUCAGUGUGACCCCGGAGGUCAUCUGCAGCACCAAGUACUUUAAUAACUGGUACUCAGCAGCUGUAUUAUAAGUUCCACAGGGGUGAACUCUCAGCCACUAGGCUAGGUGCCUUGCAGCAGAGGCUGGCCACAAUGGUGAGCUGGGAUGGGACCAAAACUCCCUUCCAGAGAAGUAACCUAAAAAGAAUUUUUGCACUCCUCCCCCACCUGCCAGACUGGAAGAACUCUGAGGGCAAGAAACACAUCUCUUAUCUCUGCUUGUCCAGCCUUUACCUCAGUGCACGUUGAUGACAAGAUAGAAAAUCAUCUCGUAAGUACAUCAUAAGUCGGAAAUUUGGACAGGGCACAGCUCAGAGGGCUGGUCUCUGCUCGCUCAAGUCUGGGGCUUCUGCAGGCAAGAGGCAAACAGUGGGGGACGCUGCUCAGACUAAACCUCUCACCCGUGUUCUCAAGAUUAGUCCAGGAGCCCCCCACCUCCAUCAUUUAUUUAAAACAUACAUAUUGAAAGAUAGUGUUUAAGAAGUGAUCCAAAAUUGUAUUUAAAAAAUUUUUUUAAUGUUUAUUUAUUUUUGAGAGAGAGAGAGACAGACAGAGUGAGAGCAGGGGAGGGGCAGAGAGAGAGGGAGACACAGAAUAUGACACAGGCUCCAAGCUGUCAGCACAGAGCCAGACGUGGGACUCGAACCCAUGAACCGUGAGAUCAUGACCUGAGCCGAAGUCAGACACUGAACCUGCUGAGCCACCCAGGCACCCCCAACAUUGUAUUUUUUUUUAAUGAAGGCAACCACACAGGCUUGUAAAUUAUUCCACUCACCACCACUCUCAAAAGGCAACACUGGUAAAAACCCAUCUUUUGAGGGUCUUCCUAGUGGCAUAAUUGUGAAUUUCCUGGAAAAUAGCCCCAGGUCACCUCUAAGCUCCUGGCCUACACAUAUGAAAAGAAAGCCUUCUGGGACAUUCUAAAGGUUUUUCACACCUUCUCCUCCACCUGGUUUCCCAGCUCAACUCCCCCUGGUUGUUAAUUGUUUUCAUGCAGAUUUUCUAGGUCCCUUGACCUUCUGUGACAGAUGUUAAUGAAUUUUGCAAAAGAGCAGAAAUACUGGCAUUUUCCCAGAAUUUUUAUUCUCAUCCUCAAGUAUCAGGCCCCAAGCUAUCUAUUUCAUCAAUGCCUGUGGCUUUAAUAAAUGCCUCACAUUCCUCUUCCAAUGUGUCAUAAUCUAACAAGUUUAUUGUUACACUUCACAUUUCAUCCCAUUAAUGGGACCUAGGAACCAUAAAUUUGGAAUUGCAUAAUUAUCAGUGGACUCAUAAGACUUUUGUUUGCUUAAAUGCAAAAUGCUUUUCAUACUUUCAGUGAGUUGAAAUGGCUCUUGUAAUACAGUACCAGAUUAAACAAAUCCCUCAUAAAUUUUAUGCUUCCUCUUGAUGUUACAUUUCUUUUACUAAAUGGGCAAAAGUGGUCAGUGUUACUGAAAAUGAUUUAAAGUCUUCAGUAAAGCAGGGACCACAAGACUCCACUUGUGCGUGUCCUGUCCCAAGGAAACCUAAGCCAGCUCUCCUCAUCCUCAUCCGUUGAGGAGAUGGGACAGAUAAUUGUUCUCACACAAGGCAUGGCGUGAGACAGACCCGAGUUCAAAUCGCUACUUCGAAUCUUUGGGAAAGUCUGGGUCUUAGUUCUAAAAUGAGGAUCAUGGUGUCUAUACCUGGCAAGCCUAUUGAGAGAAUUGAAUGCCUCCUUAACAUCCCACAUGGCUUAAUGGUUGAGUGCUUAAGUUGUCAAGUGAGAAAGACCUAGAUUCAGAUUCUGACAUUAGGACUUACAAGUUGGGUGACCUUGGCCAAGGUCACGCAAACUCUCAGCCUUAACUUCUUGAUCUCUAAAAUGGGACUGGUAACUAAGGCUAUUCCAUAGGUUGUUGCAGAAAUAUAAAUGAGGCACAGAUACAUGUAAAAUGCUAAUGCAGUGCCACCCAUGGUGGGGGCUUUGAUGUUUAUGAGUUCCUCUUCCUUCCUUAGUUCAUGUGCUUCUGGACCUACUGUGCCUGCAUCACAGCUUUAUCUUAUUCCUGGCUUUCCAGGGCCUGGAUUUGCAAGCAUUCUGCCCACGUGUCAGAAUGGGGGUCCCCAUAUCCAGCACCAGGAUUACUACAGCCCCGAGGGCCUGAUCCAGGGGGUAAAAGCCCCCUCACAACACGUGGUAGGCUCCCACGUGCUGUUAUCUGCCACGUGGUCCAAAGCUCAGGGACUCUAAGGACUCAGUCUCAGUUUUGCAGCAGCCUCAGGCUUAGAGAGGGAAGAGGCUGUCCCAGGGUGGAGAAGCCUCUUUCCUGCAGCUUGCAUGGUUGCUGUGGCCAAAGGAGGGUCUGCGGAAGAAUCUGGAGGAGGAGAAACAGAAUCGGAGUACGGCGGCCCCUCCCCAUUCUCUCCCACAGCUCGGUUUCAACAGCUUCGAAACCGUGUGAGGACCCAGGCUACUUAGCCCCUGUGUCCACCAACACAGUGUAGUGUCCCUUUGUCUCCAUUUGGAGGGUGUGUCUGCUUUAUGUUCAGACCAGGAAAACGCCUGGAGAAAAUGUUCUAGGAGGUGGCUUCUGCAGGGUCACACAGCUAUUGAGAGGCAAUACCAGAAUUAGAAGUCAGGUCCCACCUGAGGAAGCAGGCUGCAGAGGGUGUGCUCUUUUGUGGGCCCAGGGAUAAAGACGAAUACUGGAGGAGGC